rnacentral:rRNA from 1 species
UACGUAGGGUGCGAGCGUUAAUCGGAAUUACUGGGCGUAAAGCGUGCGCAGGCGGUUUUGUAAGCCAGAUGUGAAAUCCCCGAGCUUAACUUGGGAACUGCAUUUGGGACUGCAAGGCUAGAGUACGGCAGUGGGGGGUAGAAUUCCUGGUGUAGCAGUGAAAUGCGUAGAUAUCAGGAGGAAUACCGAUGGCGAAGGCAGCCCCCUGGGUCGAUACUGACGCUCAUGCACGAAAGCGUGGGGAGCAAACAGG